UCAGGACGAACGCUGGCGGCGUGCCUAACACAUGCAAGUCGAACGGAGUAUUUUCUUAAUCCUUCGGGAAGCGGAGAUUAACUUAGUGGCGGACGGGUGAGUAACGCGUGAGCAACCUGCCUCAGAGAGGGGGAUAACGUUCUGAAAAGAACGCUAAUACCGCAUAACAUUACGGUGUCGCAUGGCACUGUAAAUCAAAGGAGCAAUCCGCUUUGAGAUGGGCUCGCGUCCGAUUAGGUAGUUGGUGGGGUAACAGCCUACCAAGCCGACGAUCGGUAGCCGGACUGAGAGGUUGAACGGCCACAUUGGGACUGAGACACGGCCCAGACUCCUACGGGAGGCAGCAGUGGGGGAUAUUGCACAAUGGGCGAAAGCCUGAUGCAGCAACGCCGCGUGAGGGAAGACGGUUUUCGGAUUGUAAACCUCUGUCCUUGGUGACGAUAAUGACGGUAGCCGAGGAGGAAGCCACGGCUAACUACGUGCCAGCCGCAGC
rnacentral:rRNA from 1 species